GGGUGCGAUCAUACCAACGUUAAUGCACCAGAUCCCAUCGGAACUCCGCAGCUAAGCACGUUUGGGCUAGAGUAAUACUGGGAUGGGUGACCUCUUGGGAAGUCCUAGUAUUUCACCCU
rfam:Picea glauca, whole genome shotgun sequence.